GCAAGCCGGAUGCUUGGAAACUUGCCCGUCCGGUUUAGAUGGGGGCUGUUUUGUAAUACAUAUCAGAAAGUACAUAUCUGAU
rnacentral:ncRNA from 1 species